rnacentral:rRNA from 1 species
AAUUGAAGAGUUUGAUCAUGGCUCAGAUUGAACGCUGGCGGCAGGCCUAACACAUGCAAGUCGAACGGUAACAGGAAGAAGCUUGCUUCUUUGCUGACGAGUGGCGGACGGGUGAGUAAUGUCUGGGAAACUGCCUGAUGGAGGGGGAUAACUACUGGAAACGGUAGCUAAUACCGCAUAACGUCGCAAGACCAAAGAGGGGGACCUUCGGGCCUCUUGCCAUCGGAUGUGCCCAGAUGGGAUUAGCUAGUAGGUGGGGUAACGGCUCACCUAGGCGACGAUCCCUAGCUGGUCUGAGAGGAUGACCAGCCACACUGGAACUGAGACACGGUCCAGACUCCUACGGGAGGCAGCAGUGGGGAAUAUUGCACAAUGGGCGCAAGCCUGAUGCAGCCAUGCCGCGUGUAUGAAGAAGGCCUUCG